GACGAACCGUGCAAACGUUGUUCGGAAUCACUGGGCUUAAAGGGCGCGUAGGCGGGCAAGCAAGUCGAAGGUGAAAUCCCACGGCUCAACCGUGGAAGUGCCCCCGAUACUGCUUGUCUUGAGGGAGAUAGGGGCGUGCGGAACCUCCGGUGGAGCGGUGAAAUGCGUAGAUAUCGGAAGGAACACCGGUGGCGAAAGCGGCGCGCUGGAUCUCUUCUGACGCUGAGGCGCGAAAGCCAGGGGAGCAAACGGGG
rnacentral:rRNA from 1 species